UACGGGGGGGAGCAAGCGUUGUUCGGAUUUACUGGGCGUAAAGGGCGCGUAGGCGGCCUCUGCAAGUCGACUGUGAAAUCUCCGGGCUUAACCCGGAAAGGUCAGCCGAUACUGCAGGGCUAGAGUGCAGAAGGGGCAACUGGAAUUCUCGGUGUAGCGGUGAAAUGCGUAGAUAUCGAGAGGAACACCUGCGGCGAAGGCGGGUUGCUGGGCUGACACUGACGCUGAGGCGCGAAAGCUAGGGGGAGCGAACGGGG
rnacentral:rRNA from 1 species